AUAUUGGACAAUGGGGGCAACCCUGAUCCAGCCAUGCCGCGUGUGUGAAGAAGGUCUUCAGAUUGUAAAGCACUCUAUGUUGGGAGGAAGGGCUUUAGGUUAAUACCCUGAAGUUUUGACGUUACCAACAGAAUAAGCACCGGCUAACUCUGUGCCAGCAGCCGCGGUAAUACAGAGGGUGCAAGCGUUAGUCGGAAUUACUGGGCGUAAAGCGGGGGUGGGUGGUCCAUUAGGUUGGUUUGAAAUACCCAGGCCUUAACCUGGGACCUCUUUCAAUACCUGCUGGGCUAAGGAAGGGUGGGGGCAGUGGAAAUUUCUUGUGUAGCGGUGAAAGAGUAAAUAGAAGAAAGGAAAACCAUUGCCGAGGCGGACAACAUGCCUGAUUACUAACCCUGAGGGGGAAAGCGGGGGGAGCAAAC
rnacentral:rRNA from 1 species